rnacentral:SRP_RNA from 1 species
CCGUGCUAGAUGGGAAGCUGGCGGUGUCCUGUACUCGCAAUCCGCCUUAGCGAGGUUGAAUUCCCUUUCUGCGGGAUGUUGUAAAUGUAAGGUUCGCCUUAAGUUAUGCGGUGUUGACAAUUUGGGUCCGCGCAACAGUACUCUAUGAAAUUGGUCAGGCCUGGAAGGGAGCAGCCAUAAAUAGAGAUUCUGUGUGCCGCAGGGUAGCCCUAAUCGAGCUAGCAGCUUAAGCAGCACUUAUAUUUCCAUCACAAUGAAAGGGUGCACGG